AUUGAACGCUGGCGGCAGGCCUAACACAUGCAAGUCGAGCGAGCGGCGGACGGGUGAGUAAUGUAUGGGGACUGCCCGAUAGAGGGGGAUCACUACUGGCAACGUUGGCUAAUACCGAAUAAUAUCGGUAAACCCAUAUGGGAUUAGCUAGUAGGUGGGGUAAAGGCUCACCUAGGCGACGAUCUCUAGCUGGCCUGAGAGGAUGAUCAGCCACACGGGGACUGAGACACGGCCCAGACUCCUACGGAGGCAGCAGUGGGGAAUAUUGCACAAUGGGCGCAAGCCUGAUGCAGCCAUGCCGCGUGUAUGAAGAAGGCCUUAGGGUUGUAAAGUACUUUCAGCGGGGAGGCGUUACCCGCAGAAGAAACACCGGCUAACUCCGUGCCAGCAGCCGCGGUAAUAC
rnacentral:rRNA from 1 species